GGGCUUGACAUCCCACGAACCUGCUAAAAGGCAGGAGUGCCCGCAAGGGAGCGCGGAGACAGGUGGUGCAUGGCUGCCGUCAGCUCGUGUCGUGAGAUGUUGGGUUAAGUCCCGCAACGAGCGCAACCCUCACCCCUUGUUGCUACCAGGUAAAGCUGGGCACUCUAGGGGAACUGCCCCGGUCAACGGGGGGGAAGGCGGGGAUGACGUCAAGUCAUCAUGCCCCUUACGUCCUGGGCUACACACGUGCUACAAUGGCCGGUACAAAGGGAUGCCACACCGCGAGGUAGAGCUAAACCCAAAAAGCCGGUCUAAGUUCAGAUUGGAGUCUGCAACUCGACUCCAUGAAGGAGGAAUCGCUAGUAAUCGCGUAUCAGCACGACGCGGUGAAUACGUUCCCGGGCCUUGUACACACCGCCCGUCACACCACGAAAGCCAGCUGUACUCGAAGUCGCUGAG
rnacentral:rRNA from 1 species